CAUUUACAAAGAGUUCCCAGAGAUCCAGAAUUAGCUUUGAGAUGAUCAGCUUUGCCUUUGGGAGUGAGAUGAAGGCAGUAGCAACACUCCCGAAUCCCUACUUCGAGUAUUACUACCAAGGCCGGACUGGCCCACCGGGAUAUCGGGAAAUUUCCCGGUGGGCCGCGGCACCUAGGGCUGUUCUGACAGCCCUGUUCAUCCUAAGUAAUUU